rnacentral:rRNA from 1 species
GCGAUAAGUAAUGUGAAUUGCAAAAUUCAGUGAAUCAUCGAAUCUUUGAACGCACAUUGCGCCCAUUAGUACUCUAGUGGGCAUGCCUGUUCGAGCGUCAUUACGACCCUUAAGCCUAGCUUAGUAUUGGGAACCUACGUGCGGCAGCUACCCUGUAGCUACCCUGUAGCUCCUUAAAGACAACGGCGGAGACGUGGAGUCCUCUGAGCUUAGUAACUUUUCUAGCUUCUGAAGGCGCCGCGGCCCCUGCCGUAAAACCCCCCAACUCUUUAGUGGUUGACCUCGGAUCAGGUAGGAAUACCCGCUGAACUUAAGCAUAUCAAUAAGCGGAGGAAAAGAAACCAACAGGGAUUGCCUUAGUAACGGCGAGUGAAGCGGCAACAGCUCAAAUUUGAAAGCUGGCCUUCGGGUCCGCGUUGUAAUUUGUAGAGGAUGCUUUUGGUUAGGUGCCUUACGAGUUCCCUGGAACGGGACGCCUUAGAGGGUGAGAGCCCCGUACGUUUGGUUACCGAGCCUCUGUAAAGCUCCUUCGACGAGUCGAGUAGUUUGGGAAUGCUGCUCUAAAUGGGAGGUAAAUUUCUUCUAAAGCUAAAUACCGGCCAGAGACCGAUAGCGCACAAGUAGAGUGAUCGAAAGAUGAAAAGCACUUUGAAAAGAGGGUUA